AUGAAAAAUAGGUGCCAUAUUAAAAUGAGAGAAACAGCAGUAAUUUAUGACCAUCUUUAUUCUAAGAACACACAAAAUCAUUUAUACAGUGACUGUGUGGAUCACAAUAAACUGUGGAAAAUUCUGAAAGAGAUGGGAAUACCAGAUCACCUGACCUGCCUCUUGAGAAAUCUAUAUGCAGGUCAGGAAGCAACAGUUAGAACUGGACAUGGAACAACAGACUGGUUCCAAAUAGGAAAAGGAGUACGUCAAGGCUGUAUAUUGUCAGCCUGCUUAUUUAACUUCUAUGCAGAGUACAUCAUGAGAAAUGCUGGGCUGGAAGAAGCACAAGCUGGAAUCAAGAUUGCUGGGAGAAAUAUCAGUGACCUCAGAUAUGCAGAUGACACCACCCUUAUUGCAGAAAGUGAAGAGGAGCUAAAAAGCCUCUUGAUGAAAGUACAAGAGGAGAGUGAAAAAGCUGGCUUAAAGCUCAAAAUUCAGAAAACAAAGAUCAUGGCAUCUGGUCCCAUCACUUCAUGGGAAAUAGAUGGAGAAACAGUGUCAGACUUUAUUUUUUUGGACUCCAAAAUCACUGCAGAUGGUGACUGCAGCCAUGUAGUUAAAAGACGCUUACUCCUUGGAAGGAAAGUUAUGACCAACCUAGAUAGCAUAUUCAAAAGCAGAGACAUUAUUUUGCCGACUAAGGUCUGCCUAGUCAAGGCUAUGGUUUUUCCUGCGGUCAUGUAUGGAUGUGAGAGUUGGACUGUGAAGAAAGCUGAAAGCCAAAGAAUUGAUGCUUUUGAACUGUGGUGUUGGAGAAGACUCUUGAGAGUCCCUUGGACUUCAAAGAGUUCCAACCAGUCCAUUCUAAAGGAGAUCAGCCCUGGGUGUUCUUUGGAAGGAAUGAUGCUAAAGCUGAAACUCCAAUACUUUGGCCACCUCAUGCGAAGAGUUGACUCAUUGGAAAAGAGUCUGAUGCUGGGAAGGAUUGGGGGCAGGAGGAGAAGGGGACGACAGAGGAUGAGAUGGAUGGAUGGCACCACCGACGCGAUGGACGUGAGUUUAAGUGAACUCUGGGAGUUGGUGAUGGACAGAGAGGCCUGGAGUGCUGCGAUUCAUGGGGUCACAAAGAGUCAGACACGACUGAGAGACUGA
rnacentral:lncRNA from 1 species